ensembl:lncRNA LINC02032 long intergenic non-protein coding RNA 2032
AGAACAUUGGCUACAGUAAGAACAUACUCUGCAUCAGAGAGGGUUCAACAUUAACAACGUCUGUAAAAACAGAAUCACAGCUGUCAAGAAGAGGAGAUAUUCUAUGUUGUUAUUUAUGAUCUAAAAUAAAUCUUCAAAUUUGUUUAUGAUGGUAAAUAUGGGAAAACAAAGGACUUUUAAAAAUCAUGUAAAUUACAACAUAAAAAUCUGAAAGCACAACAUUUAUACAAAAUCAUUUGGCCAACUUGCUGGCAAUUAAGUUGGGAUACAAUGUGCUCAGGGUGAAAACAAGAUCAGAAAUUAAAACAAAGUAGCCAGAAAAAAUUGGAAAAGUUUUGGUUUUGGUUUUGGUUUUGGUUUUCCUGAGUACCUGGACCUGCAAUUCAGCUGAUCAUUAAACACAACCAGAAAGAAAGGCUCUAUUUUGCCUUUAGAGAGUUCAUCCAGAGACUGCACAAGGGAUUUGUACAGAAUAAAGCCUCACAAAACCCAAGGGCUGUCAGAGGGAAAUGGUAUCCAGGAGGACAGGGCAGGCCAAGCAUCCUCUCAACAGCAAAGCCACACAAGAGAGCCAGAGGCAGCACUGCGACUGCCAACACAACUGCCUAUUACGUCUGCCAAGGAGCCAGAAGCCGCUUGUGGGAAAAUAUCACUUACCCUUAGCAUCUGGGUCCUGUGAUUGUUAUCCAAAGAGACAGAGUGUGCUUUCUCCAUGUACUGUGAAACACAUCCAUCUGGAUCCACCUAUUUAAGCUACAUGCCUAGCCUCCAGAGUCAUCCAGACUUUUAGCAUAAGAACUCAAAUGAGAAAUCAUGAAGAAUGCAUUAACUGAAUCCAAUAUCACCUACAGGACCCUGGGCCCAUUGCACUUUGUAAUUGUAUUACUUUUCUUCUGGUUAUCUUCAUAGGAUCUUAGGUAUACUCUCUCUGAAAAGUGUUAAAGACAACUUCUCCCUGGGCCUGAGAAUAAAUUAUCUUUUUCCUAUCGCUGUA